AUGUCUGGGAAUGCAAGCUUUGCCGCUGCUGGGUUGCAACUAGGCCAACAAUAUCACCAACAACAAAUGUUUUCCUUCCCCAGCGCAUGCAAAAAGCCAAGGACAAGAAGGCUUCCACCAGUCGCUCCGUCAACAUCAAUCAUCCGUGCUGCAAAAGCAGUUGCGACGGGAAGACCACGGCAAAAAGACAGAAAUUUUGGCCACUCUAGCAGGUUCAAAAGUACAAGAUAUGAGCCAUAUAGACAGGAGCAACAUCACAAUGAAUCUGAGGAGAGACGUCCGUACAACGAGAGACGGAGAUCUUCGUCAUCGUUGCUCCCUCCAAGAGAUGCAUUGCUGCAUGUGCCAAGGGUGACACCACCGGCUCCCAUAAACUAG
rnacentral:rRNA from 1 species